UACCACAUAGCCAAGUGGAUCAAGGCAGUGGAUUGUGAAUCUACCACGCGCGGGUUCAAUCCCCGUCGUUCUAC
rfam:Nicotiana attenuata strain TT scaffold08478, whole genome shotgun sequence.